GCACACUACUUUCGCAACGAGCAGCAGCCGCAUCCAUCCAUCCAUCCAUCCACGGCCCGGCGUCGACGCGAUGUCGUACUCCGGCGAUCGCCGGCCCUCCCCGCAGCCGCAGCCGCAGCCGCAUACGCACGCGCACCUCUCCUACCUCUCCCCGUCCGCGGCGCCCUUCACCGUCGGCCAUCCCCGCGGGGCCGCGACCCCCGAUCCGGUCCCCAACGCCCCCGCUAACCCUAGCCCCUACCCCGACCUCCCCACCGCGCCGUCGCUCUACGACUCCUGGGUCGAGCCUCCCGCGAGCUACAUGGAUCUGGAGGCCGGCGCAGCGGCCGGGUACCGAGGUUUUGCCAACUCGGAUGGGUUUCUGGUUUCUGAGAACACACACACUGGCUUGUACACUGGGAGUCAUUUUGGUAACACCAUGCAGCCACAUCCCUUCACAACAGCCAGCUCCGAGUGGAUGGAAGAGAAGUAUCCUGGAAUUUACCAAAGAACGUCCAAGGCCCUCCCAAGUGAUUUUGGGUCAUCAGUUAUCCAUCAGCCUUCCGUGUCUCCUAAUAUGUUUGCUUGCUUAGAUAAAAAGCGUUCCACACCUCAACCUGUGAAUCAGCAUUCCUCGUAUUCUGCUUAUGAUAACUACACGACACAUCUUCCAUCGUGCUCAACAUAUCCAUUGGAUUACAACCUGUCCAUGCCACCUGUUUCUGUCUCACCUGAAGUAUGUGCUACAACAAAAUCAUUGUCGCCCACAACAGAUGGCCAUAUAUUGGAAAAUACAUUUUCCUCACCAUACAUGAACCCUUGCAGAUUAAAUCUUGAUUAUUUUGAUACCAUGCAGAAUGAACAGAAAGACCUCUUUGGACAUCAGACUGCUUAUAAACAUUGUGGUGACUGGAGUAACUCUGAUAGUGGCACGAGAAUAAUGGGAAGCUAUCCACUUAGUAGACGUGGAGUUGGAGAGAACUACCCUUUGGGUGAGAGUUCAGAAACUGGGAGGCCUGUGCAGCCAGGAACCUAUCCACUUAAUGGACAUGGAGUUGGAGAAAACUAUCUUUCGGGUGACACUUCUGGAUCUGGGAGACCUGUACAGCCGUCAUCAGAAGUGAAGUCUGGUUUCAACAGCUUGCAAGCAUCAUCUUCCAAUGUGUCUCCUUCAGAACAUGCAUUUUCUCAGCCUCGUGACCUUUUCAUUGAGCCACUUGAAGUAAAUAAUCCUGUUGUUGAUUCUCCUUGUUGGAAAGGGACACCAACUGCGCAGCAGUCAUCAUUUGGUGUUGUGAAAAAUGAUGAAGCUCCUUUUUCUGCUAAUGGCUCAGGUGACCUCCAUGAGUUGCACCAAAGCAAGAAGCUUUCUGAGUUUACUACUAGUAAUUCUGUGUUAUUUCCCAAGCGUCAUGAUACAUCAAAUCCUGCGAAUGAUUCGUGUCUACCUUAUUUCGUAAAUUAUCUUUCUUCAUCCAGUCUGCCUUCAGAGUGUAAAAAAUCUGAAGGUCAUAGUGAUGCACAACCAUCCAUUGCUGGGGAUUUCAAUUGUAUGGCUAGGUCUAGCCACCCUAGUUAUGUAUCUGUAGAUCAAGGCACCAGAAGAGAUAAACACGUGACCUGUAAGAUAGGAGAAAAUUCCGGAAAUGGGGUAACACCAGGUCAACAGGGAGGUGUUUUUCUUGGCCAAAGAACAUUUGAACCCAUAGUGUUAGCCAGAGACUUUGGCAGUCAUGUUGUGGGUAUGAAUGAAGAUUCUGGUAAGAAAGUUUCAAGCAAUUUUGCCGCAGCUCCAAUUACAAAGGUUAGGAGUUUGACAAAAGAAAGUCUAAAAGGAAAUACUUGCGUCCAUAAAACUGUGGCAACAUUGGAAAGUCUGUACUCGGAGAUGCCUAUGAAUAUAGGUCUGGAGCAUUUAACCCAUUGCAGUCCCGGUGUUGAGGAGUCAGUGAAGGUAUCUUCAGAUAAAGUUGCCUACAGAUCCAAGACUCAAGAAGACUUAAUCAAGUCAAUUUAUAAUUUCUCAGUAGUGCUUCUAUCUACAUGCGAUGGUGGUUAUGAGUUGGGGGAAUCUGAACAUGCACUUGUUCAAUCUACAAUACACAAUCUCAGUUCUUUGAGUUCCAAGAUAAGUAAGGCUGCAUUAAAAAAUGAUGAUGCCAAUGGAAAGUGCCACCAAUCGAAAUCAGAAACAAUAAAGUGCCAUGGAAAGAAUCAUCAGCCUGAGAAUUUUGAUGGCCUUGAUUGGGAGAACAUUGGUGCAGAUUUCAAAACAUUUAUUUUGGAGGAUCUUACUAAGCUUCCAGAAGAGAAUGUCAUUGGUGAUACUAAAGAUGCGCAAAUGCUGAUAUAUAAGAAUCUGUGGAUUGAAGCUGAAGCUUCCAUGUGUAAACUCAAGUAUGAACUGCAACUUGCCCGCAUGAAACUCGUGACGAAACAUUACAAUCAGCAAACAGCUGCAGCACCUGCCAAUUCAUUAGGAGAAGCCAAAGCCUACAUGCCCAAACACAAGAACUCUUCAUGUUUUGGAGGGUUUGCUGAUUCUAGCAAACAACAAAACCAUGUGAAAGAGCGCAAUAUUGGCAAUGCAGCCUUACUACCUCAGGGAGGUGAUAAGGUUGAUGCUGAUGUCUUUGCUCGACUGAAAGUUCUCAAGCUCCGUGAUGAGAGUAUAAAUUGCUACCGUGAGGUCAAUGCUGAGGUGCGGAAGGGAACAAGUAAUUAUAACAGGACAGAUGUUUUUGAUGACACUGUUUUUGAUAAUGCUGUUGACGAUAGGAUAACUUCUUUAGUGGAGGACAUCAUCAAAGAGCGUUCAGAAGCAAGCAGCAGCGAAGGUGGUGAGUCUGAUGGUGCUACCAUUGCUGCACUUAACGGUUUCACGAGCUGUAACAAUAAUACAAGAUCAUUGGACGAGGGUACCAACAUAGAGCAGGCAGAAUCUAGUGAAAGCAAAAUCCAUGGCGCUUUUAUGGCUAAGCUCAAAGAUUUGAUAUGCUGUAGUGAUGACAUAAGCUCAUCGAACGAGGGCAAUGCUCAUCAGCUCCAAACAGCAAGCAAGAAUGAAUUUGGUCAGCUUGAAGACGUGGUUAUGGCCAGGCUGCAAGUCCUGAAAAGACGUGAAGACAACAAUAGCAGCGCUGUGAACGAGGGACAAGAGGUUUGCCAUUCCGAUGAUUGGGCGGGUCACUUUGAAACAAAACGACUUGGUCGUGGGGCACACGAUGAGCUAAUUCAGAAGACUGAUUUGCCUGACAACGGUGGGCGCAGGGCCCAAUCUGAUGAAGCGGAUAGCAAAACCGCAAGCCAGUACGUCAGUGCAUUGCUUGAAGAGCCCUGUGUUGUCUUGAAGAGCCCUGUGUUGUCUCGGCACCAGCGGAACCUGCAAGCGCGCACACGCAUGACGAGCAGCUAAGCCACUCACCGCCGGAAUGGGAGCAUGUGCUGAAGGAGGACUUUUUUCUCCCAGGAAACCAUUUGAAGUGAAAGGCAUCUGGUUGCCCCUUGGUUUAAUUCGAAAACCUUGUGUGUGUUGUAUAUAUAUGUUCUUAACGUAAGUACGUAGUAUGCGAGCCGGGGAUCAUGACAUAAGUUGCAUGUAGAAAAUAAUCUCAAACUCAUGGCUCAUAUUCUGUAAAAUAUACGCUGUGCGUCGUAUCUGGCUGUAUGCUUUGAAAUUAUUGUCAUGCAUGUUAACGACUAUAUUAUUGUAACAUGUAAUGCUUGUAUAUGUGGUA